rnacentral:rRNA from 1 species
GUCAUGCGUCGCAUUAGCUAGUUGGCGGGGUAACGGCCCACCAAGGCGACGAUGCGUAGGGGUUCUGAGAGGAAGGUCCCCCACACUGGUACUGAGACACGGACCAGACUCCUACGGGAGGCAGCAGUGAGGAAUAUUGGUCAAUGGCCGCAGGGCUGAACCAGCCAAGUCGCGUGAGGGAUGACGGUCCUAUGGAUUGUAAACCUCUUUUGUCAGGGAGCAAAGGGCGCCACGUGUGGCGCUUUGCGAGUACCUGAAGAAAAAGCAUCGGCUAACUCCGUGCCAGCAGCCGCGGUAAUACGGAGGAUGCGAGCGUUAUCCGGAUUUAUUGGGUUUAAAGGGUGCGCAGGCGGAAUGUCAAGUCAGCGGUAAAAUUUCGGGGCUCAACCCCGUCGUGCCGUUGAAACUGGCGUUCUUGAGUGAGCGAGAAGUAUGCGGAAUGCGUGGUGUAGCGGUGAAAUGCAUAGAUAUCACGCAGAACUCCGAUUGCGAAGGCAGCAUACCGGCGCUCAACUGACGCUCAUGCACGAAAGCGUGGGUAUCGAACAGGAUUAGAUACCCUGGUAGUCCACGCAGUAAACGAUGAAUACUAACUGUCCGGGCAGAAUGAUGCCUGG